GGAGACGAAUCGCUAAAGCAUUUCUUUGACGGGUUCUCGAUUAUACUUUCAAAUUAUCACCCCAAAAUGCUAGGGGAUAAAAAAGAAAAUAAUUGAUGGGAUCCGCAUCAGUGUCCCAACAAAAAUUUGUCAAUCAUUUUCCCGAACGUAAGACUACAUAUAAAGGUAGGUCCAGAUGAAAGGAGAAAUAAUGAAGUCACUAAAUAGGCACCUUUCCAUCCCUGGGGUAUUGUGUUAACAGGGUUAAUACUUGUAUCUCUCAGCCAGGAACCUUUUGAGGACCACCUAUUUCCAUCCCUGGGGUAUUGUGUUAACAGGGUUAAUACUUGUAUCUCUCAGCCAGGAACCUUUUGAGGACCACCUA
rnacentral:misc_RNA from 1 species